rnacentral:miRNA from 1 species
UGAGGCAGGAGAAUUGCUUGAACCCAGGAGAUGGAGGUUGCAGUGAGCCGAGAUCGUGCCACUGCACUCCAGCCUGGGUGACAGAGUGAGACUCCGUCUC